AAAAGCCCUAAAAAAUCUGGUACCUUUUUUCCUGAGAAGUGAAAAGAAAUGCGCUGUAUUCUAUAAAGAAAAGAAACAGUAAUUACUAGUUUUUCCCCAACUACUGUACACUGUCUUAGGUUUAGAGCAAAGCAGAAGCCAACCAGUUAUUUAGUCCUCUAGCAUAUUUAAGUGUGAGAUUUGAUUUUAUAUAUAUGACAUCAAGAAGUAGAGAUCUUAAUUCAGACCUCAAAAGCUACCAGAUUGUUGUUAAAAUGUAAACAUAUUUUGGAAGACUGCUGACCAUUAGCCAGAGGGGAGGUCUUGAUUCAUCCAAAUGUCCUCUGGCUGGCAAAGAAGUAUGAAAAAAUUCCUGCCCAGCUCUGUAUAUGCUGGAGCAUCCAGUGGUUGAGAGUCUGCCUGCCAAUGCAGGGUACACUGGAAGAUCCCACAUGCCAUGGAGCAACUAAGCCCGUGCACUACAACUACUGAGCCCAUGUGCCACAACUACGGAAGCCUGCUUGGCUAGAGCCUGUGCUCUGCAACAAGAGAAGCCACGGCAAUGAGAGGCCCGCGCACUGCAACGAAGAGUAGCCCCUGCUCACCGCAGCUGGAGAGAGCCGGCACACAGCAACGAAGAACCAACACAGCCCCAACCUCCAAAUAAUUAAUUAAUUAAUUAAAAUAAAUACUUAACUAUUUGCAUCCAUUUACAAGUUAUUAAUAAUUGUGUAUAAAAAUAACAGUUUUCACAAUCAUCAGUAAUUAUUCCAGCAUUUUACUCCUGAAAUAAUAUAUAUCCAUUUCUAUUUCAAAUGACAUUGAAGUAGACAUUAAUGAGCAAGGCGGUCCAGGAAAAUUAAUGUAGCAGGACUGAACAGAAUGGACUAAGGAAAUAGGCUUAAUGCAGAGAUAUAUUAGCUACAACUCUAUUACCAUUAUUUAAAGAGGAGUUAAUGAGUUCCUCAACUAGGAAAGAGACCAAAGAAACAGAAAGAUGGGACAAUUGCA